UGGGGGAUAUUGCACAAUGGGGGAAACCCUGAUGCAGCGACGCCGCGUGAGGGAAGACGGUCCUCUGGAUUGUAAACCUCUGUCUUCGGGGACGAAACGAGACGGUACCCGAGGAGGAAGCCACGGCUAACUACGUGCCAGCAGCCGCGGUAAUACGUAGGUGGCAAGCGUUGUCCGGAAUUACUGGGUGUAAAGGGAGCGUAGGCGGGCAGGCAAGUCAGGCGUGAAAUAUAUCGGCUCAACCGGUAUCUGCGCUUGAAACUGCAGGUCUUGAGUGAAGUAGAGGUUGGCGGAAUUCCUAGUGUAGCGGUGAAAUGUGUAGAUAUUAGGAG
rnacentral:rRNA from 1 species